rnacentral:rRNA from 1 species
UACGUAGGGGGCGAGCGUUGUCCGGAUUUAUUGGGCGUAAAGAGCGCGUAGGCGGCCCGUUAAGUCGGAUGUGAAAACCCGUGGCUCAACCACGGGCCUGCAUCCGAUACUGGCGGGCUCGAGGCAGGCAGGGGAGAUCGGAAUUCCUGGUGUAGCGGUGAAAUGCGCAGAUAUCAGGAGGAACACCGGUGGCGAAGGCGGAUCUCUGGGCCGAUACUGACGCUGAGGAGCGAAAGCGUGGGGAGCGAACAGG